AGAGUUUGAUCAUGGCUCAGGAUGAACGUUGGCGGCGUGCUUAACACAUGCAAGUCGAACGGAACUCAUAGGAUCGAGGCUUCGGCCAAGUGAAUAUGAGUUUAGUGGCGGACGGGUGAGUAACGCGUGAGGAACCUGCCUUUAAGUGGGGAAUAACGGUUGGAAACGACCGCUAAUACCGCAUGAAGCAUUUGGGCCGCAUGGUCUGAAUGCCAAAGAUUUUAUCGCUUUUAGAUGGCCUCGCGUCUGAUUAGCUGGUUGGUGAGGUAACGGCCCACCAAGGCGACGAUCAGUAGCCGGACUGAGAGGUUGGCCGGCCACAUUGGGACUGAGACACGGCCCAGACUCCUACGGGAGGCAGCAGUGGGGAAUAUUGGGCAAUGGGCGCAAGCCUGACCCAGCAACGCCGCGUGAAGGAAGAAGGCUUUCGGGUUGUAAACUUCUUUUAUCAGGGACGAUAAUGACGGUACCUGAUGAAUAAGCUCCGGCUAACUACGUGCCAGCAGCCGCGGUAAUACGUAGGGAGCAAGCGUUAUCCGGAUUUACUGGGUGUAAAGGGCGUGUAGGCGGGACCGCAAGUCAGAUGUGAAAACUAUGGGCUCAACCCAUAGCCUGCAUUUGAAACUGUGGUUCUUGAGUGGUGGAGAGGCAAAUGGAAUUCCUAGUGUAGCGGUGAAAUGCGUAGAUAUUAGGAAGAACACCAGUGGCGAAGGCGAUUUGCUGGACACUAACUGACGCUGAGGCGCGAAAGCGUGGGGAGCAAACAGGAUUAGAUACCCUGUAGUCCACGCCGUAACGAU
rnacentral:rRNA from 1 species